AGCCGCCCCGAUCAGCUCCGUCCAGCAGACCCACGAAAUGGGUUUCCAGCUGGUUCGGGCCCGUUUUGGGCCGUUUCCCAGCCCCGAACCCGAGCCGUGCUUUGGGAACAAUCGUUCCUCGCGUCACCGCCGUCGGAUUGAUCCGAUUUGCGCGCGAUUUGGUGAGUAAUCUCACUAAUCUUGGAUUAGUUGGCUAAUUAUGCUUAAGGUUGGUUUAGAUUUAAUUAAUUAUGUUUAGGUUGUUAGAUUAGAAUAAAUUAGCAAUUAUUAGUGAAUUGUGAUGCGAUUUAAAUAAUUGAUUGCGCAAUUAACAAGUAGACGUGGUCUACUAAUUAUUGGAAGUGCUUCGGGAAUUUUCCCGACCCUUAGUGGGCUCCAAUUAGGCUUUUCGGGCCUAAGUGGAUAUUUUUAGUAUUUAAAUAUUAAUUUUCGAAAUUAAAUUAAAUAAUUAUUUAUUUUUUGAAAAUUCAAGGGAGAUGGUUCGGAACCGGAAUAUUGUGCUGAUGACUGUGGUGAAGUUCGUUUAUUUAAUCGGGCUUUAUUUUGAGCCAAAUGGGAUUUUUAAUAUUAAUUAUUUAAUAUUCGAAAUUAAUUAAUUAUUUAUUUAUUUUCCGAAAAUUCAACUGAGAUGGUUUGGAGCCGGAAUAUUGUGCUGAUGAUCGUGGUGAAGUCCGUUUAUGUAAUCGGGCUUUAUUUUGAGCUAAAUUGAAUUUUUAAUAAUAAUUAUUUAAUUUUCGAAAUUAAUAAAUAAAUUAAUUAUUUUUCGGAAAUUAAGAUUUUGAUGGCUGACGACCAAAAUCUCGUGCUGAUCAUCGUGGCGUAGCCCGUUUAUUUAUUUGAGCUCCACGUUGUAUGGAAUUGAAUAAAUUGUGAUAUUUUAGGGAUUUACCCUAAAUUGGUUGGAAUCGAUUGAGAUUGAAUUAUUGAUUGGUGAUUGACCAAGUAUGUUAUUCAACAUUUAUAAUGCUUUGUUGAGUUGAUUUAAUUAAUUGAUUGAGAAAUCGUUGGGUAUUGGAAUAUCACCUGGAAAAUGCACGUGAGUUUAGUGGUUGAUUAUAUUGAAUUGUUUACGUUGGCUCUGUGAUCAGUGUAUCACCAUGGCGAAAAAGACGCCCGAGAGCAUAUUGAAUUGUUUACGUUGGCUCUGUGAUCAGUGUAUCACCAUGGCGAAAAAGACGCUCGAGAGCAUAUUGAAUUGUUUACGUUGGCUCUGUGAUCUGUGUAUCACCUUGGCGAAAAAGACGCCCGAGAGCAUAGUAAAGUGUGCACUGUAUGUCACCUUGGCGAAUCGACGCCCGAGAGCAUUGAUGGAGCUCUGUGACUAAGUGCAGGCAUCUAAAAGGGCACGUGGCUCGGUGACUUGAUGUAUCACCUUGGCGAAGAGGUCGCCUUAGAGAAUACACGUGGGCCCAAGGUUCGAGGCACGUGACUCGGAGACUUGGAAGGUCAUCCUGGAGAAUACACGUGGCCUAGCUUUUAAAUAUCCCACAGUGGGGAUUGAUUUGUUUGGCAUGUAAUCGACUAGGUCGAUGCUUUGAUUUGAUGUUGUGAAUUGAUUGCCUGAAUGGAAAUGACCGUGAGUGGUCUUGUUGGAAUAUAAUCGACUAGGUCGAUUUGAUCGAUGCUUCGAUCGGUGAUAUGAUUGCUUGGAUGCCUAUUAUGAAUUGUACUGACUUGCAG
rnacentral:lncRNA from 1 species